AGUGAACGCUGGCGGUAGGCCUAACACAUGCAAGUCGAACGGCAGCACAGUAAGAGCUUGCUCUUACGGGUGGCGAGUGGCGGACGGGUGAGGAAUACAUCGGAAUCUACUUUUUCGUGGGGGAUAACGUAGGGAAACUUACGCUAAUACCGCAUACGACCUACGGGUGAAAGCAGGGGACCUUCGGGCCUUGCGCGAUUGAAUGAGCCGAUGUCGGAUUAGCUAGUUGGCGGGGUAAAGGCCCACCAAGGCGACGAUCCGUAGCUGGUCUGAGAGGAUGAUCAGGCACACUGGAACUGAGACACGGUCCAGACUCCUACGGGAGGCAGCAGUGGGGAAUAUUGGACAAUGGGCGCAAGCCUGAUCCAGCCAUACCGCGUGGGUGAAGAAGGCCUUCGGGUUGUAAAGCCCUUUUGUUGGGAAAGAAAUCCAGCCGGCUAAUACCUGGCUGGGAUGACGGUACCCAAAGAAUAAGCACCGGCUAACUUCGUGCCAGCCGCCGCGGUAAUAC
rnacentral:rRNA from 1 species